AUGAUGUUCGUGAUGAUGAUGAUGAUGAUGAUGAUUAGGUAUCACCAUUUUUGAACACUGUUGCGUUGCUCUGCACAAUACAUAGAAAAGCGAGGAUAACUGUGACUGCGCACAGGGUUAACAAUCAUUGACGGAUGGGUACAAAUUUAUUCGAUAAAAAUCAACAUGUAUAAAAAUGGUGGACUGCUACGCUCAUUUCGUGACCCAGAGUAUAUUUAUGUGAAAAUAACGACUCUAACGACAAAUCCAACCCAGUUAAGAUCACUGUCAGGACCAUUUCCUGUAUUGGUGGAGGAGAAAACUGAUGCUCCCUCCUAUUGGGAUACAGAUGCAGAGAACUCGAUAUUCAAAAGCUGGAGCUACAGCUGCGGCAAAUUAAAAGUGGAAAUUAUGAUGGCAGUGGCCUACUUGAGUUUCACAAAACUUCCACUGAGAUUGAGACCAGCAUGCAAGACCAAAGUCAAAAAACACAACAAGAUUCACAAUAUGGAAUCGAGUAGACUGAUAUAUUAAAACACAGAUGAUAACACAGAAGGAAGUUUCAACAGCGGUAGUCUUCGAUAUGUUAAAGAUACUGCUGUGGGUGUACAUGGACUUCUGAAGCAUCAGUCUGAUUUACCAGCAGAGCUGUGAAUGCAACAUCUCUAGCCAGAAAUAAUUUUCCUGAGCAGCAUGAUACCAACACACAAUAGCGGGGACAAGCGCAUUUUCAAAAAAGCAAUCUUUAGUUAGAAUAACCUUAGGUUUUGAAAGGUUUAGAAUAAUUGUGGUUGGAUGGCCAUAGGUGGCAGUGACAGUCAGGGAUGGUCAGCAUACACUUAAGUAAAAGAUAAAGUCUUUCAUGCGUACUGAAAACUAACCAUGGAUACUGGAGGCUGAUAGAACCAAGCAUGGACACUGGUAAAACCAACCCUGGAUGUUGAUAGAAACAACCAUGGAUGCUGAUAGAACCUACUGUAUAAGCCGAUAUAACCAACAUUGGACAAUAUCAUAACUUACCAUGGGCAGUGAAAGAAUUGAAGAAUUGACCAAAGGCAGUAAAUAAUGCAGGAACGAGUUCAAGCAUAUUCCUCAGGAUCCCCUACAUCUCUACAUAGAGGGACACGCAAACAGCCACAUCAUAUUCCUGAGGACCUUUACUUCUCAACCUAAAGGGUCACACAAACAGCCACAUCAUAUUCCUGAGGACCUUUACAUCUCUACAAGGAGGGACACACAAACAGCCACAUCAUAUUCCUGAGGAACUUUACAUCUCUACAAGGAGGGACACACAAACAGCCACAUCAUAUUCCUGAGGACCUUUACAUCUCUACAAGGAGGGACACACAAACAGCCACAUCUUAUUCCUGAGGACCUUUACAUCUCUACAAGGAGGGACACACAAACAGCCACAUCAUAUUCCUGAGGACCUUUACAUCUCUACAAGGAGGGACACACAAACAGCCACAUCAUAUUCCUGAAGACCUUUACAUCUCAAAAUAGAGGGACACAGAAACAAUCUCGUCAUAUUCCUGAGAACCUUUACAACUCAAAAUAGAGGGACACACAAACAGACACAUCAUAUUCCUGAGGACCUUUACAUCUCAAAAUAGAGGGACACAGAAACAGCCACAUCAUAUUCCUGAGGAUCUUUACAUCUCUACAAGGAGGGACACACAAACAGCCACAUCGUAUUCCUGAGGACCUUUACAUCUCUACAAGGAGGGACACACAAACGGCCACAUCAUAUUCCUGAGGAUCUUUACAUCUCAAAAUAGAGGGACACACAAACAGCCACAUCAUAUUCCUGAAAACCUUUACAUCUCAACAUAGAGGGGCACACAAACAGCCACAUCAUAUUCCUGAAAACUUUUACAUCUCAACAUAGAGGGGCACACAAACAGCCACAUCAUAUUCCUGAAACCUUUACUUCUCAACAUAGAGGAACACAUAAACAGCCACAUCAUAUUCCUGGGGACCUUUACAAGUCAAAAUAGAGGGACACACAAACAGCCACUUCGUAUUCCUGAAGAUCUUUACCUCUCAACGUAGAGGGACACACAAACAGCCACAUCAAAUUCCUGAGGACCUUUACAUCUCAACAUAGAGGGACACACAAACAGCCACAUCAUGUUCCUGGAGACCUUUACAUCUCAAUAUUUAGUGACACACAAACAGCCAUAUCAUAUUCCUGAGGACCUUUCAGCAAAUUGAGUUAUUGUCCUGUGUUACAUUUCUUGAUCAGAACCAUUUUUGAAAACUACAGGAUGUAUUUCAACUACUGUCUACACACCACAGUUAAGCACAAUGAGAAUAAGUAGAGUGUACAAGAAACUGUUAAAGCUACUAACAGAUCGUUUGCCCUUUGUACAUUUUUCAUAACCAACUGGCUCCGAUUUCUCGAAACUACUUAAGAUUUACAGGCUUAAGAAGCUUAUUUCAAAAUGCCAAAAUAUAUGCUUAACAAGAUUUUGAUAAAUCAUAAAAACCUCUUCUGAUAAUCAUGAUGAUAAUUCCUUUCUCAAGUAUAAAAUAUCUUAAAGAAGUAAACAUUACGCAAUUUAUUGUAAUCCAAAAAUAGUGAGCUUAGCUUAAUCCUGUUUAAAGGGACUUCAGAAGAUUCGAGAAUUCGGGGCCAGAGCAUUUCUUUAACAUUUCUAGAUCAAAUUCAGUGGAGCUUCAUUCAAUGAUAGAAUUGAAUGAGAGAAGUAUAUUAUAUAAGAACUAUUAGUCAAGUUAAGCUUUUCGCAGUUAUUGCCAUGUAUGACAUUUUUCCUUGUCCAUAACUUAAAAAUACUUGUUAGAACUUAAUUAAACUACAUUCAAUUGUAAAGCACAGUGAUGGUUAGAACUUAAUUAAACUACAUACAAUUGUAAAGCACAGUGAUAGGAAGUAAAGUAUACAUAGCACUAUUAUACCUUAUAAAGAUGGCAUUAUUCCCCUGUCCGGAACAUAACUACUUGAUGAAACUUUAUGAAACAUUUUUUAAAGCACAAAGAGCGGAAAUGCACUGUAUGAAAAGCAUAACUCUAUUUCAGCUCAGUGCAGAGCUACUGCCCUUUGUCACUUUUUUUGUUCGGAAAACUUAAAUACUACUCGAUGGAAUUUAAUUAACAACUCUGUUUUAGGGAAUAUUAGAAUAAUAAUGAAUGCUUCACUUCUUUCCCUAGCGCCGGUUGGUGUCUCAGUUUGUUGAAGGAUUUGCAUAAUAGCAACAAUACAUUCAAGAUCUAAGCAAGUAUAUCAUGUAUUGAUUGAAAAAAAUUAUAUGUGUUCCCAACAUAACUUAAUAAUUAUUAAUGAUUCUGUUUGAUUAUACGUAUAGGAAAACAAAGCAAAUUAUGGACAUUUUUCUGUUGACAUGGACAUUCUGAUUAAGGUUUUGCAUGUAAGCACACAUAUCAGCCAUUAGUUGAUGCAUUGAUUGUAUUUCGACUUUAUACCAUGAUACUCAACCGUUCAUCCCAAUCAAAUAACCAAGUUUAUUUGUGACAUUUGUACUCAACUAUCCAACCUCUGAUUAGGCCAAUUUUAUAGUUCUAUUGGGUUGAUUAUGGCUUGUACGUCAAAACAAAUUGUUUAAGUUGUGCAUGUAAGAAAACAUAGCAUACUUGAUAAAUUGCAUUGAAACUUAAUACAAAGGUACCCUACUGUC